CCUACGGGAGGCAGCAGUGAGGAAUAUUGGUCAAUGGACGCAAGUCUGAACCAGCCAUGCCGCGUGCAGGAAGACGGCUCUAUGAGUUGUAAACUGCUUUUGUACGAGGGUAAACGCAGAUACGCGUCUCUGUCUGAAAGUACCGUAUGAAUAAGGAUCGGCUAACUCCGUGCCAGCAGCCGCGGUAAUACGGAGGAUUCGAGCGUUAUCCGGAUUUAUUGGGUUUAAGGGGUGCGUAGGCGGUCGGAUAAGUUAGAGGUGAAAUCCCGAGGCUCAACCUCGGAAUUGCCGCUGAUACUGUUCGACUAGAGAGUAGUUGCGGUAGGCGGAAUGUAUGGUGUAGCGGUGAAAUGCUUAGAGAUCAGACAGAACACCGAUUGCGAAGGCAGCUUACCAAGCUACAACUGACGCUGAGGCACGAAAGCGUGGGGAGCAAACAGGAUUAGAUACCCGAGUAGUC
rnacentral:rRNA from 1 species